rnacentral:lncRNA from 1 species
GUGAUGUUGAGGUCUCAUAUCCAACACUAGAUGUCAGUUUUAUCAAGUAGGUGUUUGGUCAUUGAGUCUUCGACAGCUGGUAUCAUGAAGAGAAUAAGGCCCUACUUGAGCUGAACACCAUACAGUUUCUCCUGUUGCUUUAAACUUGCUGUUGGGAAAAGCUCAUGUUACACACAUAUGACAUUUUAUCUAUCAUGUCCAUUAUGUGGAAUCUUUCCAGGGCUGAUAUCUUGGGACUCCAUCUCUCCUGAUAAACAGGAAGUCAGUGGAAAAAUGGGAGGAACUGUAACACUCCGAUGCUGCUAUGAUACAGGUGAUGAAUAUGUUAUUCUUUAAUAGGAUUAUUGUAACUGGCAUAAUUUACUAGAGAUCAGUAUUAUCAAGUAAUGGUUUAACUAUUUCCUCAACAGCCGUGUCACAACGUUAUUAAUCCAAAGGGGACCAGGUAACCAAGUUACAAAUGUAAUAGCAUGUGUUCACCUAAAGAGGGAGUCACUACAAUGGAAAACAACCUACAAGUGGUGCUGGGGUUUGGUUCUCCUUUAAAUAAAUUAAAUCUCAACAAUGCACAUAGCAAGACCCCUAUCGAGUGAGCUGAUAUCCUUUGGUGAUGGCUUCAUAAACGCUCGCAAAGUAAAGGAAAAUCAAAAUGAGUUUACCCAUAGCGAAACUCAGCUUUUGCUGUGAUGGUCAUGAAUGGUAACAGGUCUGCUGGGUAUUGGAGAGCCUUGGAGAGAUGAGAUGAUGGGAGGAGCCAGCCACAAAAGGACUGUUGAGUAAAAUGUGUUUAUGUUUGCCUCCCUGCUUUACUGGAACUCGCUCUGCUCUCCACUGCCUCACUCCAUCAUGCUCUUUGCACUCGUGAUAUGUUGCAUUUUAUGUGGUCCAAGUGUUGAAGACAGUAUCAGUCAGCAGAAGGAUGUCCAACGUGCUGUUGAGGGUGCUGCUGUGGUGCUCUCAUGCAGCUACAACAGCUCUGCAGUCAGUAGUCUCUUAUGGUACCGCCAGUACCCCGGCUCACCACCACAGUUCCUUAUCAUGGAAUACUCUGGAUACAUAACUAAUCCAAUACCAGGAAUGAAAAUAACACAUAUCAAACAACAGAGACUUGUGGAGCUGCUGAUCUCCUCUGCUGCGGUGACAGACUCUGCUCUGUACUACUGUGCUCUGAGGCCCACAGUGACAGGAAACACAGACUCCCUGUACAAAAACCUGUGAAGCACAAAACAUGCGUCCAUCUCCCUUAGACCAGAACACAGAUAUUUCUGACAGAACACAUGAACUCAUCACAAUAUU